rnacentral:tRNA from 1 species
GCGGGUAUGGUGUAGUGGUAGCACAUCAGCUUCCCAAGCUGCUAGCACGGGUUCGAAUCCCGUUACCCGCU